CCGGGCCUACGGGGGGCAGCAGUGGGGAAUAUUGGGCAAUGGGCGCAAGCCUGACCCAGCAACGCCGCGUGAAGGAAGAAGGCUUUCGGGUUGUAAACUUCUUUUAUCAGGGACGAAGCAAGUGACGGUACCUGAUGAAUAAGCCACGGCUAACUACGUGCCAGCAGCCGCGGUAAUACGUAGGUGGCAAGCGUUAUCCGGAUUUACUGGGUGUAAAGGGCGUGACGGCGGGAGUGCAAGUCAGAGUUGAAAACUAUGGGUGCAACCACUA
rnacentral:rRNA from 1 species